rnacentral:rRNA from 1 species
GACGUAGGGGGCCAGCGUUGUUCGGAAUUACUGGGUGUAAAGGGUUCGUAGGCGGUGUGGCAAGUCGGGAGUGAAAUCUCUGGGCUCAACCCAGAGUCUGCUUCCGAAACUGCUGUGCUUGAGUGUGGGAGAGGCGCGUGGAAUUGCAGGUGUAGCGGUGAAAUGCGUAGAUAUCUGGAGGAACACCAAUGGCGAAGGCAGCACUCUGGGACGGUACUGACGCUGAGACGCGAAAAGCGUGGGGGAGCAAACAGG